UUCAAAAUACAAUACGGAGGAAAAGAAACUAACUAGGAUUCCCUUAGUAACGGCGAGUGAACCGGGAUGAGCUCAAAUUUAAAAUCUGGCGUCUUUCAGGCGUCCGAGUUGUAAUCUAUAGAGGCGUUUUCCGCGCCGGACCGCGUCCAAGUCUCUUGGAAUAGAGUAUCAAAGAGGGUGACAAUCCCGUACUUGACGCGACAACCGGUGCUCUGUGAUACGUUCUCAAUGAGUCGAGUUGUUUGGGAAUGCAGCUCUAAAUGGGUGGUAAAUUCCAUCUAAGGCUAAAUAUUGGCGAGAGACCGAUAGCGAACAAGUACCGUGAGGGAAAGAUGAAAAGCACUUUGGAAAGAGAGUUAAACAGCACGUGAAAUUGUUAAAAGGGAAACGAUUGAAGUCAGUCGUGUGAAAGGUAUUCAGCCGUCUCUGGCGGUGUAUUUGCCUUUCACGGGUCAACAUCAGUUUGAUCCGGUAGAAAAAGGCGGGAGGAAGGUGGCACCCUCGGGUGUGUUAUAGCCUCCUGUCAUAUGUGCCGGACCAGACUGAGGAACGCAGCUUGCCGCAAGGCCGGGGUUCGCCCACGUACAAGCUAGGAGCAAUCA
rnacentral:rRNA from 1 species